rnacentral:rRNA from 1 species
CCUACGGGAGGCAGCAGUGGGGAAUAUUGCACAAUGGGGGAAACCCUGAUGCAGCGACGCCGCGUGAGUGAAGACUUACUUCGUUAUGUUAAGCUCUAUCAACAGGGAAGAAAAUGGCGGUACCUGAGUAAUAAGCCCCGGAUAACUACGUGCCGGCAGCCGCGGUAAUGCGGAGGGGGCCAGCGUUAUCCGGAUUUACUGGGUGUAAAGGGAGCGUAGACGGCAGUUUAAGUCUGGAGUGAGAGGGGGGGGCUCAACCCUCGGACUGCUCUGGAUACUGUACGGCUGGAGUACAGGAGAGGUAAGUGGAAUUCCUAGUGUAGCGGUGAAAUGCGUAGAUAUUAGGAGGAACACCAGUUGCGAAGGCGGCUUACUGAACUGUAACUGACGUUGAGGCUCGAAAGUGUGGGGAGCAAACAGGAUUAGAUACCCUGGUAGUC